rnacentral:rRNA from 1 species
UACGGAGGGGGCGAGCGUUAUUCGGAAUUAUUGGGCGUAAAGGGCGCGUAGGCGGCCCGGUAAGUCAAAGGUGAAAUCCCUCGGCUCAACUGAGGAACUGCCUUUGAAACUGCUGGGCUUGAGUCCGGGAGGGGGUAGCGGAAUUCCCAGUGUAGCGGUGAAAUGCGUAGAUAUUCGCAAGAACACCAGUGGCGAAGGCGGCUCACUGGCCCGAUACUGACGCUGAGGCACGAAAGCGUGGGGAGCAAACAGG